GCCUACGGGGGGCAGCAGUGGGGAAUAUUGCACAAUGGGCGAAAGCCUGAUGCAGCAACGCCGCGUGAAGGAAGAAGGUCUUCGGAUCGUAAACUUCUGUCCUUGGGGAAGAUAAUGACGGUACCCUUGGAGGAAGCCCCGGCUAACUACGUGCCAGCAGCCGCGGUAAUACGUAGGGGGCAAGCGUUAUCCGGAUUUACUGGGUGUAAAGGGAGCGUAGACGGCGAUGCAAGUCUGAAGUGAAAGGCGGGGGCCCAACCCCCGGACUGCUUUGGAAACUGUAUGGCUGGAGUGCAGGAGGGGUG
rnacentral:rRNA from 1 species